rnacentral:rRNA from 1 species
UACGUAGGGACCAAGCGUUGUUCGGAUUUAUUGGGCGUAAAGGGCGCGUAGGCGGCUUGGCAAGUGGAAGGUGAAAUCCCUCGGCUUAACCGAGGAACUGCCCUCCAAACUGCUUCGCUUGAGACCGGGAGAGGUGAGUGGAAUUCCCAGUGUAGAGGUGAAAUUCGUAGAUAUUGGGAAGAACACCAGUGGCGAAGGCGGCUCACUGGCCCGUAACUGACGCUGAGGUGCGAAAGCGUGGGGAGCAAACAGG